AGUAACACCUGGAAACAGAUGCUAAUACCGGAUAACAACAGAUGAUGCCUAUCAACUGUUUAAAGAUGGUUCUGCUAUCACUCUUGGAUGGACCUGCGGUGCAUUAGCUAGUUGGUAGGGUAACGGCCUACCAAGGCGAUGAUGCAUAGCCGAGUUGAGAGACUGAUCGGCCACAUUGGGACUGAGACACGGCCCAAACUCCUACGGGAGGCAGCAGAC
rnacentral:rRNA from 1 species